GAAUGAUGGCAAAGUACAACGAGUGGAAAUCAAAACCACUCAUGUCUUUUUUUAUCUGGAGAAUGUUACUCAAAACCAAACUCAAUUCUCAUUCUCCAUUGAACAAGAUGCACCUGUAACCAACGUCAAGCCUGCAUCCAUUCAGCUCUACGAUUACUAUGAAACUGAUGAAUUUGCGUUUGCAGAGUACAACACACCAUGUAAUCAGAUGCCUUUUAAAACCUCCUAGGAUAAUGAAGUGGAAAAGAAGACACUUUGGGACUGGCUAUACAUUUUCUCCGCCAAGCAGGAAGCCUGCACUUCCUAGCUGCAAGUUAAGUUGGCUCCCUUGGUGCAUCAUCAUAGACUAAACCCUUGCUGUCUGAGGACCUUGCCUGGACUCCUCAUAGCCAGAUGCAGCUGGGAAGUGCAAGCUUCCUGGUUCCAAGAGCUACCUCCAACCAAUGGGGAGGAGAAUCCUGGACAAGUGGUCCUGCCUCCUGCCUUCCAGCAAAGAAUUCUGGGAGAUGCUCCAAAUGCUUCCUUCGAAAUCCAUCUCCCAGAAUCUCAUGAAGCAGCCUCAGUGAACAAAUCCUUCCCUAGGCAUUUUUCCUUUCUCGUCACAGUCCACUGAUUUCUCACUCCUAAUUCCUGGAAUCACUCUGAAAUUAAUCAUCUGCACCCAAGCCUUUGACUCAAAUUCUGCUUUCAGGGCAAACCAAGCAUAGACAACAUAUUACAUCAGUUACUAAAUAACUGCAUACAACGUUUUGUUAUGGAUAAAAUAUUCUAAUAUUUUGAUAAUUUAGUUUCGCUAUGUGUUUAUGAAUAAUUUCCCUGAAAGUUGUGGGAAAAAAAAGGUUUUUGUUUAAUUGCCA